rnacentral:tRNA from 1 species
GGUGGUUAAGCACUUGGCUGUCAACCAAAAGGUUGGUGGUUCAAACCCACCUAACACCU